rnacentral:rRNA from 1 species
AGUGAACGCUGGCGGUAGGCCUAACACAUGCAAGUCGAACGGCAGCACAGUAAGCGCUUGCUCUUACGGGUGGCGAGUGGCGGACGGGUGAGGCAUACAUCGGAAUCUACUUUUUCGUGGGGGAUAACGUAGGGAAACUUACGCUAAUACCGCAUACGACCUACGGGUGAAAGCAGGGGAUCUUCGGACCUUGCGCGAUUGAAUGAGCCGAUGUCGGAUUAGCUAGUUGGCGGGGUAAAGGCCCACCAAGGCGACGAUCCGUAGCUGAUCUGAGAGGAUGAUCAGCCACACUGGAACUGAGACACGGUCCAGACUCCUACGGGAGGCAGCAGUAGGGAAUAUUGGGCAAUGGGCGCAAGCCUGAUCCAGCAAUACCGCGUGGGUGAAGAAGGCCUUCGGGUUGUAAAGCCCUUUUGUUGGGGAAGAAAAGCAGCAGGUUAAUACCCCGCUGUUCUGACGGUACCCAAAGAAUAAGCACCGGCUAACUUCGUG